rnacentral:rRNA from 1 species
UACGUAGGGUGCAAGCGUUAAUCGGAAUUACUGGGCGUAAAGCGUGCGCAGGCGGUUUUGUAAGUCUGUCGUGAAAUCCCCGGGCUCAACCUGGGAAUGGCGAUGGAGACUGCAAGGCUAGAAUCUGGCAGAGGGGGGGUAGAAUUCCACGUGUAGCGGUGAAAUGCGUAGAUAUUGGGAGGAACACCAGUGGCGAAGGCGCUACCUGGACCGGUUCUGACGCUGAGGCGCGAAAGCGUGGGUAGCAAACAGG